rnacentral:rRNA from 1 species
CCUACGGGGGGCAGCAGUGAGGAAUAUUGGUCAAUGGGCGGAAGCCUGAACCAGCCAAGUAGCGUGCAGGAUGACGGCCCUACGGGUUGUAAACUGCUUUUAUACGGGAAUAACGCGCCUUACGUGUAGGGCUUUGCAUGUACCGUAUGAAUAAGGACCGGCUAAUUCCGUGCCAGCAGCCGCGGUAAUACGGAAGGUCCGGGCGUUAUCCGGAUUUAUUGGGUUUAAAGGGAGCGUAGAUGGGGUGUUAAGUCAGUUGUGAAAGUUUGCGGCUCAACCGUAAAAUUGCAAUUGAUACUGGCAGCCUUGAGUACAGUUGAGGUAGGCGGAAUUCGUGGUGUAGCGGUGAAAUGCUUAGAUAUCGCGCAGAACUCCGAUUGCGAAGGCAGCGUACCGGCGCCAGACUGACGCUGAGGCACGAAAGCGUGGGGAUCGAACAGGAUUAGAUACCCGUGUAGUC